GAGAGGAGCUGGUGCUGGCGGCGUUUCUGUUCCUCGUGUUCUUCUUGGCGGCGUUGUAGGGCUAGCUUCUCGCGCUCGGCUUUGGUUAAGAAGACGGGUUUCUUCGGCGGCAAGGAUGAAGAGACGGCGGCGAGGCCAUCGCCGGAGCGUUUCAUUGUACAGAAAAGGUUUAGGGUUUCGGGAUAAAAUUAAAUUUCUGAUGUUGUUUCGAUGCCUUCGGGAGCCUUGAAGAAAAUUGAAGAGGAUCGGAGUUUAAGUUUAUAUAGUGCGACACUGGGCUGCAUCAAAAUGGGCCGCCAAAAUGGAAAAUGGGCCUGGGCCUCACAACAGUUUUUGCAGCAACACAAGUAAAAUGCUCCAUACUCGUAAUCGGAAUAAAAAUAUAAAGGAUGCUGCUAAAUGUAUCAAACAAAUUAAGAUAGAGGAGAGGUCGAGAAGAGAGGAGCUCCAAAAAAUCUGGGCUUCAACAACAUCUAGGGCUUGUGAGUUCGAUGCUCGUUCGGCGGCUCCCGUCUUAAUUUGGGCUUGCUACUGGAUGGGUGAUGGAAUUAUAAGGGCUUCUGGGGAUCGUGGAUGCUGUUUGCUCGAGGUUCCAUUGUUGUUUUAGCAUCAAGUUUUGUGAUGGCAGCUCAUGGAAUGGAGGGUGGAGGUUGUACAAUGGCGGCGUUCUCCUCGUGGCCUCCCAAUUUCGGCAACGGAGAGAGCCUUGGUUCUCUGUGGCGGCAGCUUGGAGUUUGGCGGUGCGGGUUCGGUGGUACGCGUCAUCGAGUUAUUGUGUUCUCUACUGACGGCGUGGAUCUCAUAAGGCUCGACUGACUACGAGCAACGGUGGAUUGCGGUAAAGCGCGUGGUCAAAGGCGACGACGAGGCUCGUGGACGGAGAAGACGGCGGAGCUCGUGAUCGGUGGAGUUGGCGGUGUUGUAUAGUGGGAGAUGUAUCCAGGCCUGAGUCAACAACAUUGGGCUUUGAGCUCGGCCUUAUUCAUGUGUCCUUGGGCUACUAUGGUGGGCUAGGGUUUCUCUUAGUCCAAUUCUUUAUUUCUUAGUGCUUUGGGUGGGGUCUUGUUGUAGGCCCACUUUUAUUUCUUUUUUCUUUUUAGAUAGUUUGUUUGUCUAAUAAUGCUCAACAUUUGGGUGAGUGUAGUGGGUCUUGGCCCUGUAUCCCUUGUUCAAUAGUUAAUAUAUAGUCUAAACCAAUUUCACCAGUAUUGAUGUACACCAUAAAAGUCUCUAAGCGGAUACACUGCUGGGUUAAAUUAUGUGCUAUCUUUGUUCAAGGUUUAAGAGUCAUUGUCAAAUGUGCAGUCGGUGCACUAGUUACAUGAGUACGUAGUGGAUGUAAUAUGUGAUCUUCGGAUCCCUUAGAUUGAACGAGAGAGCUCAUUGAUUUGUAUGAUCUUUUUCAAUUAAUGAAGUUAUCAAUUUCCUUCACACACAAAAAUGUACCCAGAAAAUUUGUAAAUAGACCCAACAACAUAAUUUUUG
rnacentral:lncRNA from 1 species